rnacentral:rRNA from 1 species
UCGGGAAUUUUGGGCAAUGGGCGAAAGCCUGACCCAGCAACGCCGCGUGAGGGAUGAAGUGUUUCGGUAUGUAAACCUCGAAAGAAUGGGAAGAAUAAAUGACGGUACCAUUUAUAAGCUCCGGCUAACUACGUGCCAGCAGCCGCGGUAAUACGUAGGGAGCAAGCGUUGUUCGGAUUUACUGGGCGUAACGGGCGCGUAGGCGGCGCGGUAAGUCACUUGUGAAAUCUCUGAGCUUAACUCAGAACGGCCAAGUGAUACUGCUGUGCUAGAGUGCGGAAGAGGCAACCGGAAUUCUUGGUGUAGCGGUGAAAUGCGUAGAUAUCAAGAGGAACACCUGAGGCGAAGGCGGGUUGCUGGGCCGACACUGACGCUGAUGCGCGAAAGCCAGGGGAGCAAACG